rnacentral:lncRNA from 1 species
CUUUGAAGAUUAGCACCGUACAGACCGUCUCUUUUUGCCUACACCGAAGCUGAAGCAACAGAUUGUAUCUGUGUCACAGAUACAUACUGAUCUGAGUUAUAAUUGGUUAUGUAGCCCAGACAUGUGUUAAGAUCCCAGAGAACAUUGAAGUUCCCGUUGGGGAUUACGUCUUCUAUCAUUCCUCUGAACACCUGCAGGUCCCUCACACAACAAUGGCGUGCUUGGAUGUGGGUCUAUCUACCCAUAUUUACUUCACUUCUUCAAGCACAUCUCUUUGUCUUCCAUAAACCUCUGUGCUCAUCUGCUCAUCCCUCCUUCUUUCUCAGGGAGUUUCUUGUGAGAGUUACAUGUCUAAGACCCAUUAAUACUAAAAGCUGUUGACAUAUAGUGAAAUUCCUCUUUCUGGCGACGGGUAAUUCAAUGCUAGAAACCAUUUAUCUUCCUACAAGGCCGUUCUUAUUCUGUUUAAACUCUGUUGCAGACAGAAAGGUGUUUCUAAGAGUGGGUAUAAAUGGUGCAACGGAGGAAAAAGUCAUAAAGUAGAUGAGAGAAUGAGGACGACCUGCAGAGAGUGUGUGAGUGAGAAACCCUGAGAGGUGAUUACAGUGUCAUAAUCAUGCAGGCAUGUACAGGGGUGUACAUACAUGAAGUGAUGACAUGAACAAGUACACAUUACAAAUGUAACGUGUCCACACCAUGGCAACCACAAGGAUAAAUUGUUGCUCACAAGGGUGGAUGGCUUCCCUCAUAUCUUCAGGUUGGGGUUAGAGAUGGAUCUGCUGCCAGGAUGCUGUAUGUGCACAUGUUUUUAAUUAACUUACUUUCCCACUAUUCAAACUAUUGGGCUCUUGAGUGCUGAAAAUAUUCAUUUACAGUCCUCAGAGUCAAAUUCUUUCCAUCUGUGACAAUAUCUCUGCAGCACAAAUUAAGCAAUCAGUGCGUAAUUAAGUAAUUCUUCUGAGUCAGACUUUCAACUUAAGGUGGAAAUUAUCUCUGUCAAUCAUCUCACCACAUCGUGUAAUGAAAAGCACACAGUGGAGGACCAGGCUCUGAUUAGAUGGGAUAUAAUCGGGUCAGAGGAGUGUGAGAUAAUGAAAGUGAGAGUUGUUCUGCUGUCGUCCCGUAUGUUCAGGGUCCUGUGGGACUCAAACAGGCCUGUUAAACUUUAUUAGAGUGAACAGGCUUCCCGAGUCCACACAACACCGGGCCUGGGAGAAAAACCCACAAACAGAGGCCAUAAACAUAAACACAACAACAGACUAUUGUCUCUGCCAGUGGGGGAAUGAACGGAUGACAGGAUGGAUGGAUGGAUGGAUGGAUGGAUGGAUGAAUGAAUGAGGGUCCUGUUCUCUGCUCAUCUAGGCUGCUCAGAUAAUGCCAGUGCAAAGAUAUGGGUGUAAUUUUAGGUAAAAGUCCCGCUCCGAUUGUUUUUUUUUUACUACUUAAAGUGUAUCAAUGGUUUAAAUUGUGAUUGUGAAGUUUUUAUCCAAAAUGAUGUUACCUGUGCUGUUUUCAAGGGGUUUUCCUCUUUAGCAAUUUACCUCUGAGUUGUGGGCGUAGACCAGGGGUGUCAAAGUCAAAUGGAGGAAGGGCCAAAUAAAAAAUUUAGCUACAAGCCGAGGGCCGGACUGAUAGAAUGUUCAUUGAAAAUUUUUUAAAUGACGCAUAUAGUCUAGUGAACCUAAUUGAACCUACUGAAAACCUAACAAAUAUAUUCCAAUAUGAUCAGAUAAAUAAAGCAAUAUUUUCUUAUGGCUCUGUCAGUAAUCUUUAAUUUUCAACAGACACAAAAGACAAAUUUCCUUUAUAUAAAAAUCCCCAUAACAUGAACAUUAAAUGAAAGAAACCGGUAUUAUUCAAGUCACCAUCAGUAGCCUAUAUUUUCUAUUUUAGCAAAAGUGGGCUAAAUUUACUUCAAAGAAAAAAAUAAUAAUAGCAAUUUUCUAUCAUCCAUUUUUGAACAGAGCCUGUCGAGAUUUGAGGCCUCGUUUUAAUUCCUCGGCCUUCUGUAGCCUUUGUUCCAUGUCCAUAUUCUUGUUUUUGUCCGCGUGUUUCGUUUCAUAAUGUCUUCUCAGAUUAUACUCUUUCAGUACCGCCACACUUUCUCCACACAGAAGACACACAGGUUUUCCAGCUACCUCCGUGAACAUACACUCCGACUCCCACCUUGUUUGAAACCCCCGGUUCUCAGUGUCCACCUUCCGUUUUGCCAUUUUUGAUGGGUAUCUGAAAGUUAAUUUUACUGUUAUGCUGACCACUGCUUUGCUAAUAAAUAUUGAAAUGAAGCAGCCUACUGCUCGGUGCGUCACCGUUGCAUUGUGGGAAAUGUAGUUUUGGUGCGUGUAAAAGAUCUGCGGGCUGCCGGCUUGCUGCGGUCUGCGGGCCGGUUCUAAUAAUAAAUCAAGAUCAUCCCAGGGGCCGUAAAAAACCUUCUCGCGGGCCACAUCCGGCCCGCGGGCCUUGACUCUGACAUAUGUGGCGUAGACAGUGCUGCUCUGCACACUCAUCUUCACGCUAGCUUGCAGCCUAACAUUGCCGGUGUAGUUGAAGUAGCAGGUAACAUAGCAGUUAUUCAGCUCUCUGACAUGAAUGUCUUUGGCAUGGUGAAAGCUAACAGCAUAAUUAGCUUUCUUACAAGCAUUGCAAUCCACUAACGAACACGCUUGGUUCGAGAUCGUCCUCUCUACUUUUCCGAGUGUGGCCUCCAGGGGCGGAGCUUGGAUUUGCGACGUUGGAAAUCUCACUAAAUUUGAACCUGCCGUUUGGGUCUGCCAGAGAUUCACAGCGAUUUGAAUGAAGAAAUACUCAGAAAUGCAAAUUUGCACUUAUUUUUCUCAUGAUAUGUCCUGUAGCAUCAGAAAAAUGCUGUAUGAACAUGUAAACAACAAGAAAAACAUGAUUUUCAGCGGAGUUGGUCUUUGAGAUUAGAGGUGUAAUGGUAUCAUGAUCUCAUAGUCUGGUUGUAUCAUCGUAUCAGUCUGUAUUUAUUGUUGUAUUUAAAAAAAAAACUACACACAAAAAUGCCAUUUACAUUCAUGGUUAUAUUCUUGCUUAAGGCUCUGUGUAACUUUAGCCUUUGUGUCAUUGUAGAGGGCUGCUCACAGUGUUUAAAUGAAGAGUGGCUGUGACAGGUAUUAAUACUUAAGCUCUAGUGUGUUUCCUAAUCUUCAAUCCUCCAUUGUCAAC